UAAAACAUUUAUUAAAAAUGAUAUUGCAACUAUUUGAAUAAAAUACAAAUAUUCAAUAAAAUAUUCUAAUUUCUUGUAAAACAAUAUUUAUAGAGUCAUCGGUAAAUAAGUUUUGUAAUGUAAAAGCUAAAUAAAUUCAUACGUACUAUAAUACAGAUAACCGGGAUAUGAAAUUUACUUUAUAGUGACUCGUGGGCCCACAAGGAAUAAAAGUGCACAAAGGCAAUAAACCUACAGUUUUUGGAGUAGUAAAGCCGAUUAUAAUCCUUGACGAUAUCUGCUAUCCACAGGCUACCUCGGCCUGAAAUGGUUGAAAAGAGGGUGGUGAGAUUAUAAAAUCCCAGUGAGUAAACAGAUACCAUCUAAACCAUCUAAAGUUGAGUAAAUGGAGACAGAUAAAACAGUUUAACAUACUGAAAUUCAGCACCUUUCAACUUGUUUCGACCAAACAAAAUCAAUUCAUAUAAAUCGAGUAAUUAACAUGGCUUAUGAAUUUCUUAAAACUUUGGCUCGUGCCAAAAUCAUCAUCAUACUCGGUCAUUAGGGAUACCUUGGUCGCGGGCUAUCCCAAACCGAGUCUGCCAAGACUAUAAAAAAGUUAUGUACUCAUAAAUCAUGUUUUUUAUUUUGAAAAUAUAGUCGUUCCUUGGCGUUGGCUGAGUUCGCCCUCACGUGGUGGUUUGGCGUGAUGUGAACUCUAAAAGUUAUACCUCGGGAGUUACCCUACUCCCCUCUCCAAUCGAGGUAAGAAUAUGACUAGGUUUCGUGCCCCUCUAAUAGGCUAGUCUACAAAACCAGCCCACUGCAACAAGCUAAACCCACCAAACAAUAAAAAUUCAAUAGCAUAACAUGGCAAUUUUAUCAUUAUCCAGCUUAUCAAGGCAAACAACAGUUUAUACAUUUCAACACAAAUACCAAUUUAGCCAUUCAUGCCAAUAUUGUCAUAAGCCAAUCAAUUAGAACCAUAAAUUCACAAUACUUCAAAUGGUCUCUAAUUACUCUAUUUUCAAAGCCAUUAUUCAAUUUUAAAACAAUUCUAUGAAAUCAUUUCAUUAAAUCACAUUUGGUUUAUAAAAUCAAAAAAUUAAUCAUUUAAUUCAUUUUCCAUAAAAUUCACAAAAUCGGAUAAAAACCACUUUAUAUAAUUAAGACGAUAGUAAGGUUACUCACAAUAUUAGGAGUCGAUAUACUCCUAUUCUCGGUCUUUGACCACAAUCUCUUUACCCUUGUUAGAGGGCUCACCACCUAUACAUCAUACGUGACACGAAUUUCAAUAAAUUGUGUCAAUUUAUCAUAAACUAUUUCAGGCUCUAUAAAUCUAUAUGAAUGCACGAAAUGUGAUGCAAAAUGUCCGAAUAGCCGUUUAAAUACGGUAUUCGACCUAAUUCGCACUAUUCUUGGUGUAAUUGGCUAAAACCUCCAAUUUAACUCCAAAUCGAUUUCUUUCACUUUCUACACUCCAAUUAUACUUAAAAUACCUCAAUAACUGUGAAUAUGAUUCAAUUUAUCAGUUCGAACCAUAAAUCGAACAUAUCUAUACAUUAGGUAAAAAUUCAGAUUUUCAUGCCAAAAUUUUCCAUUAAAUUUCUGGCCUCACCAAUCAUUAAAUACCACCAAAAUAUCAUGAAAUAUCAUUAAUUUCAACCUCAAUAUCCUCCCUAGAAAAUUCAGUCUCUUGUGUGUUUGUGAAGAACAAAGUGAUUCCUUGCUAGAUUUUUAUACUUUUCCAUUACCAAACAACUAAAAACACUUAAUUAGCUUGAAAUCUAGCAAAAUCAAUGCUCAAAACCUCUCAUCUCAAAUUUGGCCAGCAUGGGUUAAUCGUGCAAACUUGAGUUCUAAGCAUGAAAAAUGAAAAAGAAAACAUGGGUAAUGUAAAUCACAAGAUAAAAUCACAAAAUUUUACCUUUAUUAGCUUAAUCCCUUGAAAUCCCACUCUUUUUCUUCAAUUUUCCCACCUAGGGUUUGUGUUCUUUCCUUUCCUCUUCACUUCAUGCUUUGGCCG
rnacentral:lncRNA from 1 species